rnacentral:rRNA from 1 species
UACGGAGGGGGCUAGCGUUGUUCGGAAUUACUGGGCGUAAAGCGCACGUAGGCGGCUUUGUAAGUUAGAGGUGAAAGCCCGGGGCUCAACUCCGGAAUUGCCUUUAAGACUGCAUCGCUAGAAUUGUGGAGAGGUAAGUGGAAUUCCGAGUGUAGAGGUGAAAUUCGUAGAUAUUCGGAAGAACACCGGUGGCGAAGGCGGCGACCUGGUCCGUGACUGACGCUGAGGCGCGAAAGCGUGGGGAGCAAACAGG